rnacentral:lncRNA from 1 species
GAAGAAUCGUGAGGGGUUCACGUGGAUAGGGUAGUGGGGUAAGGUAUAGGGUAGGGUGAGUUGGUUAGGAUAAAGUUUGUUAGGGUAAGGGUUGUUAUUUUGUUAGGGAGUUUGUUAUUUUUUGAAGGGAUAAUUAAAUGGGGGUAGGGUACGUGGUAAGACGAGAAUAAAAAAAAUAGGUAAAAUUGAUCUUCGGGAGGGAC